rnacentral:rRNA from 35 species
GCGGCGGACGGGUGAGUAACACGUGGGCAACCUGCCCUGCAGACUGGGAUAACUUCGGGAAACCGGAGCUAAUACCGGAUAACACCGAAAACCGCAUGGUUUUCGGUUGAAAGGCGGCUUUUAGCUGUCACUGCAGGAUGGGCCCGCGGCGCAUUAGCUAGUUGGUGAGGUAACGGCUCACCAAGGCGACGAUGCGUAGCCGACCUGAGAGGGUGACCGGCCACACUGGGACUGAGACACGGCCCAGACUCCUACGGGAGGCAGCAGUAGGGAAUCUUCCGCAAUGGACGAAAGUCUGACGGAGCAACGCCGCGUGAGCGAAGAAGGUCUUCGGAUCGUAAAGCUCUGUUGUCAGGGAAGAACAAGUACCGUUCGAACAGGGCGGUACCUUGACGGUACCUGACGAGAGAAGCCACGGCUAACUACGUGCCAGCAGCCGCGGUAAUAC